UUGUAAUGAAAGGUAGAACCUUAUUUUUGAACUAUAUUCCAACAGAAUCGAAUUUCCUUUUUGCCAAGAAAUAUAAAACCCUGAGGUUUUAAAAUUCGGUUUCUUUUCUGGGGAUUUAACAUGGAAGGAUUUGGAGGGCAAAUGGCCCAGUGAUUGGAAAGGAGAAAAACAAUUCAUUUCAUUUAAAAUUAUUCAAUAACCGUUGCCAACAUUUGGGAUUCUGAGUGCUGUUUAUGAAGCCCUUUCAUUGAUACAAUUUCAUCUAUCUCUCACAAUGCUGUAAGUGAUUCCUAUGUCCAUAUGGCAGUGAGGAAAUGGAAAUUCGAGCAGGUUUAGGGAGUUUUCACCUGGAAGGAAGCUCUUCCUUUUUCUCCUUCUACCCACAGUAGGUUCAUCAAACUAUCAGCCCCGGCACUGGGAGCAGAGUAACAUGCAUGUUCUCAUUAAUGUCCUUUUCUCAUGUUGUUAUUAAAGAUAUAUGCAAGUUGCCAAAAGAUGAAGGAACUUGCAGGGAUUUCAUAUUAAAAUGGUACUAUGAUCCAAACACCAAAAGCUGUGCAAGAUUCUGGUAUGGAGGUUGUGGUGGAAACGAAAACAAAUUUGGAUCACAGACAGAAUGUGAAAAGGUUUGCGCUCCUGUGCUCGCCAAACCCGGAGUCAUCAAUGUGAUGGGAACCUAAGCGUGGCUGGCCAACAUCAUAUACCUCUUGAAGAAGAAGGAGUCAGCCGUCGCCAACUCGUCUCUGCAGAAGCUCCGGGUGUAGAUUCCCUUGCACUGUAUCAUUUCAUGCUUUGAUUUACACUCGAACUGGGGAGGGAACAUCCUGCUGCAUGACCUAUCAGUAUGGUGCUAAUGUGUCUGUGGACCCUCGCUCUCCGUCUCCAGGCAGUUCUCUCGAAUACUUUGAAUGUUGUGUAACAGUUAGCCACUGCUGGUGUUUAUGUGAACAUUCCUAUCAAUUCAAAUUCCCUCUGGAGUUUCAUGUUAUGCCUGUUGCAGGCAAAUGUAAAGUCUAGAAAACAACGCAGAUGUCACGGCUACUCUAUAUACUUUUGCUUGGUUCAUUUUUUUCCCUUUUAGUUAAGCAUGACUUUAGAUGGGAAGCCUGUGUAUCGUGGAGAAACAAGAGACCAACUUUUUCAUUCCCUGCCCCCAAUUUCCUGGAUUAGAUUUCAAGCUAAUUUUCUUUUUCUAAAGCCUCUAACAAAUGAUCUAGUUCAGAAGGAAGCAAAAUCCCUUAAUCUAUGUGCACCAUUGGGACCAAUGCCUCAAUUAAAGAAUUAAAAAAAGUUGUAAUAGAGAAUAUUUUUGGCAUUCCUCUAAUGUUGUGUGUGUGUGGUUUUUUUUUUGUGCAGGGGGGAGGGGAUUUAAUUUUAAUUUUAAAAUUUUUAGGAAAUUUAUACAAAGAAACUUUUUAAUAAAGUAUAUUGAAAGU